rnacentral:rRNA from 1 species
UACGGAGGGUGCGAGCGUUGUCCGGAAUCAUUGGGCGUAAAGGGUGCGUAGGUGGCGCGGUAAGUCGGGUGUGAAAUUUCGGAGCUUAACUCCGAAACUGCAUUCGAUACUGCCGUGCUUGAGGACUGGAGAGGAGACUGGAAUUUACGGUGUAGCAGUGAAAUGCGUAGAUAUCGUAAGGAAGACCAGUGGCGAAGGCGGGUCUCUGGACAGUUCCUGACACUGAGGCACGAAGGCCAGGGGAGCAAACGGG